CAGCCGCCGCGGUAAUACGUAGGUGGCAAGCGUUGUCCGGAAUUAUUGGGCGUAAAGGGCUCGCAGUCGGUUUCUUAAGUCUGAUGUGAAAGCCCCCGGCUCAACCGGGGAGGGUCAUUGGAAACUGGGAAACUUGAGUGCAGAAGAGGAGAGUGGAAUUCCACGUGUAGCGGUGAAAUGCGUAGAGAUGUGGAGGAACACCAGUGGCGAAGGCGACUCUCUGGUCUGUAACUGACGCUGAGGAGCGAAAGCGUGGGGAGCGAACAGGAUUAGAUACCCCAGUAGUCCCUGUCUCUUAUAC
rnacentral:rRNA from 1 species